rnacentral:misc_RNA from 1 species
GAUGAAGAACGUAGCGAAAUGCGAUAAGUAGUGUGAAUUGCAGAAUUCAGUGAAUCAUCGAAUCUUUGAACGCACAUUGCGCCCCUUGGUAUUCCAUGGGGCAUGCCUGUUCGAGCGUCAUUUGUACCUUCAAGCUUUGCUUGGUGUUGGGUGUUUGUCUCGCCUUUGCGUGUAGACUCGCCUUAAAAUAAUUGGCAGCCGGCGUAUUGAUUUCGGAGCGCAGUACAUCUCGCGCUUUGCACUCAUAACGACGGCGUCCAAAAGUACAUUUUACACUCUUGACCUCGGAUCAGGUAGGGAUACCCGCUGAACUUAAGCAUAUCAAUAAGCGGAGGA